rnacentral:tRNA from 1 species
AAAAAUUUAGUUUAACUAAAAUAUUGGUUUGUCAAACCAAAGAUUACAAUUUUUA